GGAUUAGAUACCCUGGUAGUCCACGCCGUAAACGAUGAUCACUAGACAUUGGCGACAUACUGUCGGUGUCAAAGCGAAAGUAUUAAGUGAUCCACCUGGGGAGUACGCCGGCAACGGUGAAACUCAAAGGAAUUGACGGGGGCCCGCACAAGCGGUGGAGCAUGUGGUUUAAUUCGAUGAUACGCGAGGAACCUUACCUGGGCUUAAAUGCAGAACGACAGGCUGGGAAACCAACCCUUCUUCGGACGGACUGCAAGGUGCUGCAUGGUUGUCGUCAGCUCGUGCUG
rnacentral:rRNA from 1 species